rnacentral:lncRNA from 1 species
GGCGCCCGUCCCACGGCUGCGGGCCCGGCCGGUUUUCCUACUUCCUAGUUUCUCCGGUGGACUAAAGUUGCCCCGUCCCUCUUUGCCCCCUCCUCUGGCGGCGAAGGAGGCGGGGUGGGAGGCCGGGUGGGUGAGGAGGCCGCGGCGCACCGGCGGCGGAGGUACUACUUUGCGGAUCCCGCCGAAGUCACUCGGGGAGUUUGUUUUUUCUAGGCCCCGGUGUCGGUUAUUUAUUAUUUUACCGAGAGAGAGAAAAAAAAAUAAUCAGCUGGAGGGGACGCAGACGGCGCGGCGGGCCUCGGGCCGCCACGGGGCCGGGGUCCGGCAGCGGCCGGGGGCCGGGCGGGCCGAAGGCCGCCCGCCGCCCGCGGCCUGCCGGGGAAGACGGUCUCCGCCGGCCCGCUCGGUCCGUGCCUGCCACGCUCCGGAAUAAAUGCGGUUCAAAAAAAAAUCAUGUCAAUUUGUAAUUAUUUCAUUGCUCAACACUGAAGUCAAUGUAUGGGAAUUCUCAAGGAAGAGUGCGAUGUGGAGGAUAUGACUUGGCUCUACCAUGGCAAGGGGUAAGAGGAAAGGUAAGAUUCCUGCAUAUUAUUAUGAUUAUGAUGAUCAUUAACUACUAUGUGUCUUUAUGGUGCAGUAGGAUCCCAUAAGGGUGGCUGGGCCCAGUGCAUUUUCCUACUCGGUCUAGCAUGUAAUGAUUCGGUGUAACCGGAUUCUUGAGAAAGGACAGGUUACGUAAACAUUUACUGAUGUGGAGUAACUAUACUAUUUGUACUCUGAUAUGCAGGAAGGAAAGUGUUGAUUAACACAGAAGAAAAAAAAGCGAAAUUAGCUGAUUGCAUGCUCAUAAGUGCAAGCUGUCAUUGAACUGCUUUUAAAAUAGACACAGCUGGGUGUUUGUGUUGAAAAAUUUCUUGUGUUUUUGCUAAUACUGAAAUAAGCAUGAUUUUGUAUACCAAACAUUUUCAGAUCAUUAAAAUUUGUAAUCUGUGCUGGUUUUAAACACAAAGAAAAGAAACAGAUUCAUUUCGCUGUAAAAUUUGCUGAUAUUAUAUUAACUCAAUCAGGUCUGUACAAAUGGUGUAUUGUGCCUUAUCAAAUCUCUUUGAUCCAUUUAAUACACAAAGUGCCAAACGUGUGUAUUGUUUGUUAACAUUGAACGUUUUAUUCAAAUCCCAGCUCUGCAGCGAACUGGAGGAGUUCUCGUUUAAUGUAACACUGACAUUGCCUGUUGAAAUUUUAAUGCCUUGAGGUGUUUCUUAGGUCAAAGCUGAGUUUACUUUGCGUUGUGAUCAGGGAUGAAAAUGUAGCAGGGAAGAAAAUAAACAUUUUAUCGUUUUGCAUUUCUGAGCAAAGGGCUAACACCGAAAGAAGCACGCUUUUAAAACGUUUGAUGAUCUAGAUUUAACAUUCAGUCAUUUGUCACGGGUGCAGAAUAAAGCUCUGUGCACAAACUUAGGAUUUAUAUUAUAUUUUUUUUUAAUGCCGUGGAUAUA